GUACCAAGAUCUCACUUUUAACCUGCAAACCUUCCUUUUCCUGCCUCCCCUCCCCCGGGAACACAGGGAAAAAAGAACAGUUUAGAAUUUACCCAAGCCAAAUACACAGGUCAGGUGGAUUAGAGCAAGCUCAGGUUGGCAAAUCCCAAGGGGAGCAGCUGUUUUGCUUGGCGUCUCUGCCCGAAAAUCCCACGCCAUAAACAUUCCACAAUCCAGGGGAGACGGAGGGGUCUGGCAGGGGAGGACGGUGGGCAAGGCAAAUGCUGUGUCUUUAAUUUUCUUUUCCGAGGGAAGCAAAGUCUGCAGAGCCAUGACAGCCUCACUUGUUCAGCCUUUAAUGCGCGUUGGGUUUUCUCCAGUGGAGGGCACUCGGUGUUCCACAAACUCCAGCCUCGGCGCCCGCCAGCUCCGGAGCAUCAUCGCUCUCUGGAAAGCCUCGGAAUUAGACGAGAGCUGCCUCUCAGCACAGCUACAAAACACUUUAAACCCGACCAGCUAAAUGGAUAAACCGAGCCUGCGGGGCUGCUGAACCGGGCUCUGGCAUAGCACGGGAGGCCGUGCCUGCUGCGGGAGCCGGCCGAGGAUGGAUCGCUGUGCCCGGCAAUGGCAAGAGGCAGCAGAAUGAGGGAUGCGAGGCGCCGGCAGAGCUCUGGUCCUUCCUCCCAGAGAACUUGGUUCGUCUCCAUCGCCCGCUCCGGCUUUUCUCGCCGACUGCCACUUAACGCCGCCGGUUCUCUGAUGACUUCCACAAUGGCUCUCAGAGCUUAGAGUCCCUCCCUACCCCCCCACACUCCCCCCAUCCUUCGUCCUGUCUUCCCCACCCCCAACCCCUUCCCUUAUCCUUUCCCUUCCUCAUCCCCAAAAUUCUCGCUGGUCCUCUCCGGGGAACUUUGUGGGGUUCCUGGCGGGCACGCUGGAUGGCGGCGGGGCGAGCGGCAGCCGCGCUGUGACAUGAAGAUGAUGAUGGUUUGAAGCGGAGGAGCCGGGUUUGGAAAAGAGAGAGAGAGAGGCGAGGGGGGAAGAAAAAAAAUAUAUAAAUAAAUAAAUAAAAAGGGACGAGAGCGGAGAAAACAGCUGGAGGAAGGCGAAGGAGGACGUUAUUGAUGACAAAAGGAUGGGUUUCCAUGUGAUCAAGCAGCGGGGAGGCUCCAGGGUGCUGCUGGGGCUGCUUCCCCUGGCGCUGCUGGCGGGGCUGGCGGGUGCCCAGCGAGCCUGCCCCAAGAGCUGCCGCUGCGACGGCAAGAUCGUGUACUGCGAGUCGCACGCCUUCCGAGACAUCCCGCACAACAUCUCCGGCGGCUCCCAGGGCUUGUCCCUGCGCUACAACAGCAUCCAGAAGCUGAAAUCCCACCAGUUCGCGGGCCUCAACCAGCUCAUCUGGCUUUACCUUGACCACAACUACAUCAGCUCUGUGGAUGAGGAUGCCUUCCAGGGGAUCCGCCGGCUGAAGGAGUUGAUCCUGAGCUCCAACAAAAUCACCCACCUGCACAACAAGACCUUCCACCCCGUGCCCAACCUCCGCAACCUGGACCUGUCCUACAACAAGCUGCAGGUGCUGCAGGCGGAGCAGUUCAAGGGCCUCCGCAAGCUCCUGAUCCUGCACCUGAGGUCCAACUCGCUGAAGACGGUGCCCAUCCGCGUUUUCCAGGACUGCCGCAACCUCGACUUCCUGGAUUUGGGCUACAACCGCCUGCGGAGCUUGUCCCGCAACGCCUUCGCCGGCCUCUUGAAGCUGACGGAGCUCCACUUGGAGCACAACCAGUUUUCUAAGAUCAAUUUUGCCCACUUCCCGCGGCUCUUCAACCUCCGCUCCAUUUACUUGCAGUGGAAUAGGAUCCGCUCCAUCAGCCAGGGGUUGACGUGGACCUGGAGUUCCUUGCACAACUUGGAUUUAUCAGGCAAUGACAUCGCAGGGGUAGAGCCCGGCACCUUCCAGUGCCUGCCCAACCUGCAAAAGCUGAACCUGGAUUCCAACAAACUCACCAACAUCUCUCAGGAGACCAUCAACACGUGGAUCUCUCUCAUCUCCAUCACUCUGUCCGGGAAUAUGUGGGAAUGUACUCGAAGCAUUUGCCCCCUGUUUAAUUGGCUUAAGAAUUUCAAGGGAAAUAAGGAGAGCACCAUGAUCUGUGCAGGCCCCAAACACAUCCAGGGCGAGAAGGUGAGCGACGCUGUGGAAACCUACAAUAUCUGUGCCGAAAUCCAGGUGGUGCCUACUGAAAGGUCCUACCAGGCUCCCAAAACCCCCCAGAGACCCGUGUUCAUCCCCAAACCCACCGUCUCCAAACUGGAAAGCCACCAGCCGACAUCGGCGAUGCCAAGCCCUUCCGCAGACAUCCCAACGCCCGCGGUGGAGCCGGAGUACGAGCACGUGUCCUUCCACAAGAUCAUCGCGGGGAGCGUGGCCCUCUUUCUCUCUGUGGCCAUGAUCCUGCUGGUCAUCUACGUGUCCUGGAAGCGUUAUCCCGCCAGCAUGAAGCAGCUCCAGCAGCACACGCUCAUGAAGAGGCGCAGGAAAAAGGCCCGGGAGUCAGAGAGGCAAAUGAACUCCCCUUUGCAGGAAUAUUACGUGGACUACAAGCCAACAAACUCUGAGACCAUGGAUGUAUCUGUUAAUGGAUCUGGGCCCUGCACCUACACCAUCUCUGGCUCCAGGGAAUGCGAGGUCCCUCACCACAUGAAGACUUUACCCUACUACAGCUAUGACCAGCCCGUGAUCGGCUACUGCCAGGCCCACAAGCCCCUCCACGUCAACAAGGGCUACGAGACGGUGUCCCGGGAGCCGGCGGAGACCUCCAACCUGGACCUGGGCCGGGACCACAGCUUCAUUGCCACCAUUGCGCGCUCCGCCGCCCCCGCCAUCUACAUCGAGAGAAUACCCAACUAACGGGGGCCACCACCUCCGGGGACAGCUCUGGGAGGGACCUUUCGUCUGGGAGGAGACCAGGCAAGGCGCUCCAACCCCACCGUUCCAGCGGCAAACGCUCCGAGGGCAGCGGGUGGCGGCGGCCUCCGCGCGGCAGGAAGGCCGGAGCGCACGCGGAGAACUUCAGGAUUUUCCUUGCUUUAAACUUUCAAACAAAUUCCUCAGUGUAAAUAUUAAAGAGAGAGAUUGUCGAGUUCUUUAUUAAAAAGAACAACAGCAACAGCAACAACAGCAGCAACAAAUAGAUUUCACUCUAGCUACAUAAAGGGAUGGAUUAAGAGUUUUGUUUGUAUAUUUGAUUUUUCUACAUUGCACGGUUCCAGGGAAGGAGAACCACAGUCUCAGUUCCUGGAUUCAUGUGAUCCUGUUGCACCUUCAGCUUCAGACCGUGUCCAAACUCUCUUUAGGCCAGGCCUUUCUACUCCUCUUCACACAGUUCUGGUGAGGAAAGUGGCUGCUCUGCACGGGAGAAUGGAGAAACUCAACAGGUUUCCAGGUAAGACCCAAAAAUUAAAAAUUAGACUUUGAUGGUGUUCCUCUCCCAGCAAAGGGGCGUUAACAAAGGGACCUCGUUAGUGAAUAGUGGCUUUGGUGGCACCUUGGAGGUCACAGAGCCCCCAGAGAAGCUGCUGAGCUUCCAACCAAAGCUGUGAACUUCGUGCUCUGCAAAAAAACUCAACAACUGAUGGGUCUAAGUAACAGAUUCUCCAAGAAUCUGAGGGAUUCUUGGGGGAAAUCAGAUGCUGCUUUUCUCCACCACUCAUAGUCACUUUGAAAAUGUCCAUGGGGCGCUGAAAUUCCUCUGUCCUGGGAAUUCCGGUGGGUUCUGCAUCCCAGAGCCUGUCCCAGCACUUCUGCUCAGAGUUAUUUCCAAGGCUGGCAAUAUUUUGCUGUGAGAUUUAAAAAUCUUUUGGAAUAAGCUGCCCUUUUCAGUAAUGAAUUGCAAGUGUUCUGAAGAUUGAUAAACACAAUUUCAUCCUGACUCCCCACUGGAAAAAGUCCCUGAAGGAAUUUGGCACGAUGGCCAUGGCAAAUCUAGUGCUUUUAUAGAUAUUUUCAAGCUGCAUGAAGAUUUAAGGCUCUGAUGUAGUGUGUAUUGAAAGUUAUUAAUUUUUAGGUGGUUUUGGCUCCUUUAAAUGUCACUUGUCACUUUUUUAAAGCUGUAGAAAGGAAGGGGGGGUUGGUGGGGCUGGGAGUCCAUCAAGCUGGAACCUUGCCUUAAAUUAAGAAAAAUAAAUUACCUGUCUGAUAUUAAUGCCUUCCUCAUAAGAGUGAGAGCAAUAAAGAAGGCUCAGACUGAUUUGGAGUUUGGGUUUGUUGGAGGGCAGGAAUUAAAAACCAUCCUUGAUCCCCAGAAAAUGGAGGAAAGCAGAUUUCAGGGACACACCACCCAUUCCUCAGGGCAAGAGCAGGAAAUGUUCUUAUCCCCAGAGAUCCUGCUCAUCACUGAGAAGAUGAGGUUUGAUUAUCUUGAUUUUAAAAAGUGUCAUUAUCAGUAUGAUAAAGAUAAGAAUAAAUUAAAAAUAAGAAUAAACCUGCCCCUUUUGGAGGAGAAGCUGUGGCUGGCCCAUCCCUGGAAGUGUCCAAGGCCAGGUUGGAUGGGGUCUGGAGCAACCUGGGACAGUGUCCCUGCAGGGUGUUGGAAAUGGAUUUUUCAGGUCCCUUCCAACCCAAACAAUUCCAUGAUUCUCUAAUUAAAAACCAUUCCAUGAUUCUCUGAUAAAAAUUCCCCAGCCUGACCCCAUUCUGUGAAAGAGUUAAGCAGAAAAUCCCAAUAAAGAAACUCAAAAUCACAGCAGAGCUGGGUCCCAAGUGGAGUAAAACACCAAAUGUCCCUGAUUUGCUCCAUGCAGUUAUUCCAGCAGCACUUAGUGCCUGUUCCUGGCCUUGGAGCCCUGCUGCUGGGAUUUAAUAAAGCGUGGGCAGCUUAAAGUAAAUGAGGCCUAGCAGGGAAUGCUGUCAGUCCUAACUGGAGCCAGGGGACACAUCCCAGCCCUGCCACGCCAUGCCAGGACAGAUCCCAGGCUGGUACAAACCCACCUGUGUCUGGGGCAGGGUUCUCUCAGUCUCAAGCUGCAUCAAGGGAAAUAUAGGUUGGAUAUCAGGAAAAAGUUCUUUACAGAAAGGGUGAUAAAGUUCUGGAACGUUCUGCCGGGGAAGGUGGUGGAGUCACCAUCCCUGGGUGUGUUUAACAAAGCCUGGAUGUGGCAGUGAGUGCCAGGGUUGAGUUGGGGUGUUUGGGCUGGGUUGGAUUGGGUGAUCUUGAAGGUCCCUUCCAACCGAGUCAUUCUGUUAAUUCAGUGCCAAAAACAGUAUUCAUUUACAAGACAAAAAAGGCCUUUUUUUCUUUUUUUCCCCCUUCAGUGCCAGGGUUUAGUUGAGGUGUUGGCGCUGGGUUGGACUCAGUGGUCUUGAAGGUCUCUUCUAAACCGGUGAUUCUGUGAUUAAACCCAGCUCUUUACAAGCUUGCUCUCAGUGACAGAUUUUGGAAAUCAGUGACAAAGUCAAACCAGGCCUCUGUGCCCGCCCCCUCCCCUGCUACCCCCCAGUGAUAUUUUGUGUAUUAAAAAGGCAGAGGAAAAUCAAGUUGAUAAGGCACAAACUCCAGCAGCUCGUGACUUUCAAUCAGCGCCUCGGGCUCCCCAGCGCUCUGGAGGGCUCUCGUUGCUAAAAGGGUGUGCUCAGAACAGCGGGAUCCAGGGCAUCUUGAGAGCCUGAUGAGGGAGGGAAAAGAAAGCAUUUUUCUCCCAAAUCCUCCUGGGAUUUAGGGUUGAAAGAGAGGGCAGGUCGGCAAAUACGGUGAUGUCAGGGUCCUGCUGGGAUAGAAAAUGUGGUCACAAUAAUUUAGAGCAAAAUACAUCAUAAAAUCUUGUCAUAAAAUCAUAGAAAGGCCUGGGUUAGAAAAUCCCUUUUAAAUUCCUUGUGUUGGACAAAGGGAGUAACACUCCAAUAAACUGUUGGUGAUAUUCAAGUUGUAAUUUAUAAACAGUCUCCUCAAACAUUGUGGUAUUUGCAAUGUAUUUAUAUCAUAUUAUGUAAGAUAAAUGGCUGGCAAACAUUCAUAAAGUAUUUAUUGGACAUGCCACUGUUUGUUCAAUGAUUUAUAAAUCAAUGCUGGGAAAAGGGAAAGUGGUGGCAGAGUUUCAGAUAAAUUCGUUGCAAAAUAUUUGCUGUGCAUCAAUAAUUCUGAUAUUAAUUAGUUUAGGCCUUAUCUGCAAGUGCCUUGGGAAUGAUUUACAGUUCACUUUUUCUUCAAUCCCAAGCUCAAGGGGCUGGAAUUCCUACUUGGGCUGGAAUUCCUGCUCAGGUUGGGGCCAGGCUGGGGUGUGCACAGUCCUGGUUCUGUCCGGAGCUGGAUCUGUUCAUGGUUUGUGCAUGUCUUGGUUUGAAAGGACAGGUGUCUGCUCAGGAAGGCAGGACCCUCCCCUGAAACGGAAAAUGUAAAUCCCCUCCCUCCAAAUUAUUAUAAUGAUGAAAUUAAAAGGCUCUCAGGCAAAGGUAUUGGAGUAGGAAUAACAGUUCUUAACUAUGAAAAUUUUAAAAAUACAAAUGCUAGAGUACAAAAAAGAAAACAAACUACUGCCAGAGUCAGAGCAGGAGCUGUCCCCCUGUGGAUCAGGGUGGUGGCACAGUCCCAUCCCAUGGGGGCUCAGCCCUCCUGCAGUGCCAGCUGUGGUUCUGCUGGAGCAGGGAUCCUGGACAAGUGGGGAGUUUUCCUCUGAAGCUCCAGAGGAAAGCUGCUGGAGAUGGGCCUGGUGUUCCUCUGGGAAUGCAGGGCAGAAGAAAGCUGCUCCUCUGGGAAUGCAGUGGGCAAAGGCUGCUGGGGUGUCCCAAACCUCAGAUUGUAUCCAGGUAGGAAUGCUUGGCUCCUCCCCUGGGCGGAGCAUCUCCCAAUGGGAUGAUGGAAUUUGAUCAGCCAUGCAGGGACACUCACUGGCCAUGAACAGCAGAUAAUUAAUAAUUAAUUCCUCCCCUGGAGGGAGGAUUGUCUGUGGAAGAGAUAAAGAAAACUGCCUGAUGAACAGGAGAGAACUGCCCCACCUCUGACAGAUGGUGAUAGACCACACACCCAGCCUAAGACAAGCAGCUUCCCAGUUUACUGCCCCAAAUUCCCUCUUUGUGCUCCCAGCUGCAAAUGGACUGGGGAAAGGUCAGGAAUGGGAAGGAGCAGCUGCUUUAGGGGAAGGUAGAAAUCAGCAGCUCCAUAAACUGCCAGAAUUAGUUAAAUCUCCAUCUUCAGCCUUAAUACCCACAACCACCUUCCUGCCCUGGGAGUUUGAAGCAGAAAUGUGAAGUUGUGGCGCUUUGCUGCCCUUUCGUGCCUGAUCCCAGCAUGGAAAAUGGAGCUGACAUAAACUGGGAGUAUCCAAAUGAUUUGUAAGUAUCUGGGCUAAUGAAUGAGUUAGAGCUCUGUCAAUAUUUGCAGCCAGGGCUGUGGAAUUAGCGUGGGUAAUGCAUGCAGGAGAUGUAAUUUUCAAUUUGCUUAUCAAUGUAAACAUUCAUUUAAAGCCGAAGGUAAGCCUGGUUUACACAACUUUGCUUGCUGGGAAAGCGGGGAAAUUUAUAAUUUACAUUUUUCAAGGGAGGGCUGCUCACAGGUACGCAAAUCAGGAAUAUUUUGGUGUUGUUUUGCAGUGCAAAAUUCAGUUCUUUCCUAAACACCAAACCAGAUUCUUGCAUCCCAUGGAAGAUGACCUGAUGUGUUAUUUCAAGUAUAUUUUUUCAUGUUUAUUGUAUGUUUUCUCCCUGAGAACAAGAAAUCUUUCCCAAAACAAAUCUUUUUGUCUCUCUCUGGUUUCCCCUGCUAUUGUUGAGCAGAUCAUAAUCUCAUCCAUAAUGGAUGUGGGACUGAAAAAUUCCAGGGAGUUCACAUUUACCAGCGUUGCCGAGGGAAGGAAUUCUCUCCCGAAGAUUCAGCUUUAAUAUAAAAGAGGAAUAGCUGAUAUUACCAUGUUCAGAUCCAAAAACUGAUAAUGGAGCCCUGCUGAUGUUUAAUAUCAGCUGGAUUCCAUUGGCCUUGUGCUAGCAUCAUUUUUGAAGGUUGGAUUUGUGGUUCUGUGAUGAGGAGCUGGAAUAAUUAAAUCCCUAAAAAUCUACUGCCCUGGAACUGCAUGUCAGGAAAAGACCUCUCUGAUAGAUCUCUUUUCAAUUGUAAUCAAAUUGAAGGAAUUUGGUAUUUUUGGGAUAUGAUUAAAAUGUAGCUGAAUGUGGCAGAGGAGCUCAGUUAUCUCAGAGUUUCUGAUGCAGCAGAGCACAAGGGUUUCUUCACAGCUGCUUAAACCAACAAUUUUAUUUUAUAUCUCAGUUAUCAUUCUCCCAGGGAAAGGAAACAAUUGAUCCCAUCAAAACUUGGUUUUGUUUGACACCACUUUUUGAAGUGUUUCAGGUCAGGCCUAGCAGGGGGAGGUGAAUUAUCUCCUGUCUGCACAGUGCAGGCACCACCCACCACUCCUUGGUCCUUGCUGAGUUCCCCAGGGCUGUUGUUUUAUGGAAAUAACUGGAAUUCUGGAGUUCUGCUGCAUCUCAGCCCUGGUGGAAUUUUACUUCAGGCCAUUGCACCAAAAUCUUCUGGAAGUUUCUCCCCCAGCCUCUCUGGCAGGUGGAAUUGUCAAAACAAAAAUCAAUCUUAACAGAAAAAUGUUCUUAAUUAACUCAAUGGAAUAAUAAAACAUCAUUAAAAUGAAAAUAACAACAUGAUAAAUUUACUGGAGAAACUAAAAAGGGUAUAAGGAGCAUAUUAUGCUUUUAGGGGAUUCGGUUUUGCUUGCAACAACUUGUGGCUUCAUCAAAAACAAAGCAAUCAUUGUGUUCUCUUUUGUCCAUAUUGGUCCAUAUUAGUCUAAAACUGUCUUUUUCCACUCCAUAUUUAAUUAUUUUGUUCUGUUGUUUUUGGGUUUUUUUAAUCUAUGGAGUCGGAGCAGCACCAGGAAUGGGAUGAAGGCUCUGGCUUCUGUGGGGAAAAUAUGGGAAAAAAAAAAACAAACAAACAUGCAGACACAGGGGAGGGAGGGAAAUAACCUUAAUUCUGGGAGUUUGGCAUUAAGUGGGUGAGAAGCAGAGCAGGCCCCUUGUGCUGGUGACAGCAGGAGAGCCGGGGGACAAAGCCCAUGCGGGGACCAGCUGUGCACAGAGGCACUUGGGGAGGCAAAGUGGAACAUCUGUGCAGCACAGGAACCACGGGGGAAGGAGCUGCCAGGGAAUCCAGGCUCGGGGACAAACAACUGCUCCUGCCCGAGCCCUUUUUGUGUGCAUUUCCCAGCAGGAGCAGUGAGGCAGCAGGGAAGGAGCUGAGCGCCAGGUGGGAGAACUUCUGGCGCAAGGAAUGUGAAAAACGCCAGCCACUUGUUUUCAGAAUUUUUUUAAGUUUAAUAGUAGUAAGAUGGUUAUAAAAAUAGUGAUAUAAUUAGAGUAAUAAAAAUUUGGACAAUUAGGCUUUAGAGACUGAGAAUUGUCAGUAUGAGAAUUGUCUCAUAUUUUUUGUAUGAGACAAUAAAAACAAAGGGUUAUGGACAGUCUGGGUACCUUUUCAGGCAAAAUAAGCCUGAAAAAGGACCCACAUUACCCUUAAAAGCAAUAGCCUGUUGCAUAUUCAUACUCCUCCCACAUGUGAAUUGUCUGUUUGGUCAGGAUAACAUCCAGUGAGCAUGUAAUGAGGACCCUGCUAUUGAUAUGCCAUCUAUCAGCAUCUGCCACCUGAAGAAAAUAUGGAGCAAGGCCCAGACUGGAAGGGAUAAGGAGAAGGAGCCAAAACCACAGCCAGGAAACACACAUCCUCUAAAAAGGCAGAUCUGAGGAGGGGCCAUGUAAAAUAGUUCCUGGAAUAUGGAAACUAGUUGAUGGAUAUGCAUAAGGGUCUAUGAAUAUGCAACAGGCUGAUGGAAGGGAAAAGGGAUUUAAGGGGCAUCCCAAAGAUAACAGGGGGGAAUUCAGGAUCUCUGGGGCACAGGGGAUCUAUAGGGCAGGAUCUUUGGGGCAGAAGGAAUCUAUGGGGCAGGAUUUCAGGAUAUGUGGGGCAGACAGGAUCAUAAUCUUUGCUUUAUUGUCCUUGUCUCCUAUUGUCCUUUAUUAAACUUUUUUAAUUUUCACAGGAGGGUGAACGUGUUUUUCACAAGAGGCUGCACGUGCCUCUCCCACUUCCAAAUCCCCCCUGUUCUCCCUGCUGCACACAGCGACCCUGCCACAAGGCCAUGAACACCUCCAGGUCUUUAUUUAUUCUGGCAUUUCCGCAGGCCCUGCCAGGGGUUGUUGUUUUCUUUCCUAGGCACGCUCAGUAUUUCCAUGGACAGCGUGGGUUUCAUCCUUUAAUUUUAUCCCCUGUGUUUGACAGAGAGGCAGGAGUGGAAAAUGCUUUUUGUCACCCUCCAAUUCUCACCUGUGCAGGUGCCACGUGUGGUGGUGACAGAGACAGAGCAGGAGCAGAUUCCAUGGAAAAACCCUGCGGAUGGAGCUGGGUGCUGCUCCUGGAGGAGGGGAGCUGUGCUUGUCACAUCACUGCCAUGAUUUUGAUUCCUCCUGGGUUUUCACAGUGACUUCCUCCAUUUGCUCUGCUGGAUGAGUCAGGAAUGCAGAGCCCUGAGCUGCUGCAGUGUCCAUGCUCUGCCCUGCCUCGCUGCCUCAGCUGCUCCCUGCCCAGCUCCUGCCUUCCCUCCCCACCAAUUCUGAAUUCACAUUGAGAGGAAAAUUAAUCCACAAACAUCAGAGGUUUAUGUCCAAAAAGGAGACAGAAGAGUUCUUUUACUUUAUUGGAAUAAAGGGAGAGGCCAUGGGGCAUUCCCCUGGGGUCUCUCCAGUUUUCUCCUGGAGAAGUUUUGAAGAUUCCUCAACACUUCAGAGAGAAAACCUUGCUGUUUUCUCCUGUUCUAAUUGUAUGGGCAGGAGGGGAAUAAGAAAUCAGCUCUUUCAGAUUUGUCAAUUUUCAGAAGCUAUUAAGCCAUUCUGGUUUAAUUUGGGUUCAGAGCCGUUCCAUUAUGGAUGCAGGGAGGGAGCCAUCCCUGGUGACCCUCGGGACAUGCCAAAGUGCUUUAAGAUCAGUUUGGGCAGUCAGAGAUGUGUGAGUAAUAAAACGUCUGCUCCAGGAGGGCCUUUGCCCACCCUUGGCAGGGGAACCUGGCAAGAAGCUCCUCCACAGCUUUGCUGCUCCUUCCCAUCCCUCUGCCUCCUUCAGGAGCAAUCUCCAUCUUUUCCUUUCCAUCUCUCCUCUGAUUUUUUCCCUUUCUUUCCCAGCAAACCUCUGAAGUUAAGGCACCACAAGAUGCAACAUGACAUAAUCAAUAGAGAAACUUUCCUAGCUUGCCAAGGCUUGGGAUUUUUUUUUUUUUUUUUUUGAAGUGUCUUGCUAUCUGUCAGCAUGUGCUAAUUGAGCCUACACACCCAUAUGGCACCUGCUCCCUGGAGGGAAGCGUUUCCAUAGCCCUGGAGAGCACGGGGAGCGCUUGGGAGGGAAGCAUUUGCCUGGGAAUGUUGUAUUCCUGGAAAACAAACUGGGGAUGGGACCCACAGGGCUCAGCUGGAGCCUUUGGUGUCGCUUAGAACGCUUACACUGUGUGAGCUGUGCCAUGCUUGGCUUAAAUUUAGAACUGUGGAAUGUUUUCAUUCUGAAGAGGGUGAGAGAAAUGAUGUUGGGGGGUUUCUGAUGAGUCCAAGCAGGGCAGCAGCUCUGUUAAACCUGAGGGGUGGUGGCUGUGCUGCCCAGACAUCACCAGGAAUGGCUCGGCAGCAGAGGCAGCCACCCCAGCUGAGUUCAGCAGCUGGAAUUUCACAUUCCCACCCUCCCUGGGGCAGUCUCACCAAAACCUCAGCCAGGGUUCAGGAGCUCUCCAGCCCCUGUGCCAGGGAGAGCUGGGUUCCACCUCGGCAUUCAGGAGGCAUCUGCCACCGUGGGGAAGGGAGGUGGCAGAUCCCAUCCACAGAUGGGCAGACAGAAGGAGAAGGGGCUGCCUGAGCCAUGCCUGGAGAGGGAGCAUAAAAAAAUAUCAAACAGUCAUGAGUUUUGCUCUGUGAAGGAAACAAAACACACUCGGUGAGGUUCUGAAGGGCUGGGGAGGCUGGGGCUCUGUCAGCCUGGUCACCAGCUGGGGCAGAUGUGACAGGAGGCCUGGGAGGUGUGAAACACCUACAGAUGUGUGAAUAUGGAUGAUGCAGAGCUGCAGGGCUCUGCAGAAGAAACACGUGGAGUUGUGGGCAGGCAGCUGAAGGUUUGGGAUCAGUGGGGCUGGCACCAGGCUCAUCUGCACCUCCUGAAACCCCUGGUCAGCCCCAAAUUACAGAGAUCAUUUGGCAUGGGGCUGGCACAAGGCCCAUCUGCAGUUCCUGAAGCCCCCGGUCAGCCCCAAAUGACCUAGAGAUCAGUAGGCCUGGCACAAGACUUUUGUUCACCUCCUGAAGCCCCUGGUCAGCCCCAAAAGACCAGGACAUUAAUGGGGCUGGCACUUUCCAGAGUCCCAACACAGCUUGGCACAGAUUGGCCAAAGAGUGAAAACAACUCACCCCACAAUCCAAUGAAACCAUCACCUGUGGGUAAACAAUCUCCAAACACAUUCCACACAGGAGAAGCAAAUGAGAUAAGAAUUGUUUUCCUUUUCCUCUGAGGCCUCUCAGCUUCCCAGGAGAAAAACCCUGGGCGAAGGGAUUUUUUUCAGAGAAUGUGGAUGUGACAUCAACCCGGGAAAUGUGGCUUUGCUGGCUGGACUUUGUUUGGGAAGGGAAGUGCUGGUGACCAGAUGUGCGUGGGAGCAGGGAGGAGGUGCUGUGGGCUGGCAGAGCUGGUGGCAAACACAGAGUGGGCACGAAUUGGAUUAGAGCAGCUCGGAUGGCAGCAGUGGGUGUUCGCCUGCAGAUCCUGCUCUGGGAAUAUCCCAGGAUUUGGGAUGGAGGCACCAGGGCUGCCGGGAGCUCAGCGGUGCCUGUGCUUCAGCUGGGGCCUGCCUGCUUACACAACAGGCCGAGGGGAUUGCAGCAGGGAUGUUUUCCUGCCUGUUUUUCCGUGUGGGUGGAACUUGGUAGACAGGAAUCCUCAGGUGGGGAAGGGGAACGAGUGCCUGGGGCAGAGGGAAUGUGCUAAACUCGGCACUAACACGGCACCGAGGCCUCAGCCUGGCUAUAAAUUGCCACCUUGCGAAGCAAUUUUGGCUUUUGCUGUGUUCUCACUUGUGAUAAAUUUGCUGGGAGCUGGAGGUGUUUCGCCUCGGAUGCCUUGAGCUGUUCCCUGAGUCUUUCCCAGGGCUUGGAGAGGGAAUUUGUCUGUCUCCUGUGCACACUCUGCACAUCCUCAGAGAGCCAGGGAGGUGUUUUCCCUGGGAAAACCUGCAGAGGCCUUGUCUCUCAGAAACACAUUUUCUCCACACAUUUUGGGAGCAAACAAGGAAAAUAUUUAUUUUUCUGCUUUUUUCUCAUCUAUUGGUUUAAAUUAUUUACUUCUCUACACAUUCAGCAUUAGAAAGUCCUCUGAGUAACCCAAGCAAUGGAGAUGAAAACCCCGGCAAGAGGCUGUGUACAAACUGAUUAAAUUGGGCUCCAAAAUCUGCUCUGAAGUCAGAGUGAUGUUAAUCAGCAGCAGAACUGAAUGAGGGAAAAGAUAAACACACACUUGGUUUUCCAGCACUUUCAGAACGGCCCCCACAGCUGCUUUGGUUCAAAAUAUUGAUUUUAUUUUCUGUAGAUAUUUUUUAAUGUAUUUAACACUUUUUUUAAUGUGACAAUAAAGAUAUUUG